UUUCAAUUUUCUUGAUUUUACUUUCCCGCUCUUUCCCUCUAUUUCUUUUCAUUUUAUUCUGUCUCUCUGUCUUUCGUUUUUCGUCUGUUAUUUAUUUUCAUCCCUCAAAAAUUUCCCCUCAAUUCUUGUUUUCCCACUAUCUCGCUUUAAUUUCUCCUUCACUUUAUCAACGUGUAUUUCAUUUUUCCCUUCAUUUCUUUAACCUUCUUCAUUUCAUAUAAUUUUUCACCUUGAUCUCCCUCUCCCUCUCUCCCUCCACUCUCCCUCUCUCUGAUUUAUUUACUCUCCUUAUAUUAUCGUUGUUAUUUCCUUCUCUCCAGGUAUUAUCAGUUCACUAAUUACCUUGAAAGAUUAACCUGUGAAAUUAUGUGCGAGCAGAUUAGAGGAGGAAAUAUUAGAGGAGGUAAUUCUCUCGGCUAUUUGAUGGAGUGCAAGAGAGAGAGAGAGAGAGAGAGAGAGAGACUUGCUUGAAUCUACCUUAUCUUACCUUCAGUCAAAUUUCAUCAAGCGGGAUUCAGUUCUGUUAUGUUUGGUCCUGAUAAUGAAGGUGAUCUGUGAAUUAACUCUGCCCGCCUGCCCGCUUGCCCGCCUGCCUGCCUGCCUGCCUACCUGCCCGCUCGCCUGCCUGCCUGCCUGCCCGCUCGCCUGCCUGCCUGCCCGCCCGCUCGUCAGGCUGAACAUCUGAGAGAGUUGGUAAAGAAAAUGUUCCCAAAGUGUGAGGUUGCCCAGAAAAUGUCUAUGAAAAAGACAAAAGCAUCGACAAGAAGUUCCCUGCUUUGAAUGGAAACCAUCAAAAGAUCUCAUAAGUGACAUGAAAAAUGGCAAAAUUCGUCAGCGAUAUGGGACCAAGUGUAGCAGCAGCCAACAGGCAACUCUGUAUCCUGCUGAUGACACGGAGGUUGCCAGUGGUAGCGAGGAAGGAACACAAGUUUAUGUACAAUAAUAUUCUGCUGUAUGAAAGUGGCAACACUGGUGACAGGUGGCGCUGGGGAGUUACCACGGCGAGCGGCUGGCUGGCUGCAGUGUUUUGGUCAGCACUGGUCAAUCUUGCCCUACACGCUCUAUUAACCAGUGUUUCCGUCUUCCCGACACCUUCCUGCACCAAGCACCGUCAAGCAUCACCAGAGAGGCACGAGUACGUAAGGUGUGUGGGUGGGUGUUGGAUCAGUGACAAGUGGCGCUGGGGAGUUACCACGGCGAGCGGCUGGCUGGCUGCAGUGUUUUGGUCAGCACUGGUCAAUCUUGCCCUACACGCUCUAUUAACCAGUGUUUCCGUCUUCCCGACACCUUCUUCCUGCACCAAGCACCGUCAAGCAUCACCAGAGAGGCACGAGUACGUAAGCCUAACAUAUCACAAGAUGGAUCCACAUGUCUAGCCUUCAUAUCCGCUGGUCAGAUAUAUCCGUCAUUGCCUGGUUUUGGUGUUAUAUAGGAAUAAAUAAGGCAACAUGGCCGCCGGCUCCCCCACUGAGGUCGCCCCCGAUGGCCGCCAUGAUGGA